AGAACGAACGCUGGCGGCAUGCCUAACACAUGCAAGUCGAACGAGACCUUCGGGUCUAGUGGCGCACGGGUGCGUAACGCGUGGGAAUCUGCCCUGGGGUACGGAACAACAGUUAGAAAUGACUGCUAAUACCGUAUGAUGACGUAAGUCCAAAGAUUUAUCGCCCUGGGAUGAGCCCGCGUAGGAUUAGCUUGUUGGUGAGGUAAAGGCUCACCAAGGCGACGAUCCUUAGCUGGUCUGAGAGGAUGAUCAGCCACACUGGGACUGAGACACGGCCCAGACUCCUACGGGAGGCAGCAGUGGGGAAUAUUGGACAAUGGGCGAAAGCCUAAUCCAGCAAUGCCGCGUGAGUGAUGAAGGCCCUAGGGUUGUAAAGCUCUUUUACCGGGAUGAUAAUGACAGUACCGGGAGAAGUAAGCCCGGCUAACUCCGUGCCAGCAGCCGC
rnacentral:rRNA from 1 species